AACGGGAAGGAGAGGGGAAGGGAGAGCGCUGCCGGUGGUGACCACAGCCACCGUCGCCGUUGACCUUUAGGGGAAAACGAGAGUGAGAGAGAGACACACACAGAAAGCGCGACACGAGGAAGAGAAGCAGCUCGUCUUCGUUGCUGCCGUCGCCGCGCCAUGCAGCCACUGCCGUUCCUUGCCGCCGCUGCCGGUGGAAGUAACCAAACAAGGAUAGGAGGUCGCUGUUGAUGCUGUCGCAGAGAGGAAGGAAGGGACGCGUGUGAGAAAGUGACGCAACAGAGGAGGAGCCGUUCCUCUGCCGCCGCCGGAAUUCCUGGUCGUCGCCGCCGUCGUUCAUGAAGAAAAUUGAGAAUCAAGGAAAGCAUCUUUGUUUAGUAGUAUAUGGCUCGCUGCCACCAGAAACUCGAACAAGGCAGGGAGAGUUUGUAGAUAUGGGUCAAAUUUUCCUGUUGGAGAAGUAACAUGCAUAGAUGCAGAGGAUCUACCCUUGCUUAAUUCAUCUUUAAACUCCCAAUCACCCACUUUAAAGAAAACCAUGUUGAAGGGAAAAAUGAACUUAAUUAAGGUCAUAAAUUUUGAAGAGCAAAUGUUAGCUAGUAAAAGUCAUGAACUUGUAGCAUGAUGACGAUAAACCUACUUGCUACUUAGCUAUUUCAACUCUCUUUUGUUAUUGUAUUUUUCGCAAAAUUAGAUGAUAUAGUUCGAGGUUGUUAUGACCUAGGCUAGUACUAUAGUAUUUUUAAAAACGAUGAUGAUAAUUAAAAGUAGUUACGACUUAGACUAGUAUUAUGGUAUUUUGCAAUGAUGAUAUAAUGUGAUUGUGGAUCUUAUGUAAUACUUUAUAAAUCAA